rnacentral:rRNA from 1 species
AUUGAACGCUGGCGGCAGGCCUAACACAUGCAAGUCGAGCGGAUGAAGGGAGCUUGCUCCUGGAUUCAGCGGCGGACGGGUGAGUAAUGCCUAGGAAUCUGCCUGGUAGUGGGGGAUAACGUCCGGAAACGGGCGCUAAUACCGCAUACGUCCUGAGGGAGCAAGUGGGUGGUCUUCGGACCUCACGCUAUCAGAUGAGCCUAGGUCGGAGUAGCUAGUUGGUGGGGUAAAGGCCUACCAAGGCGACGAUCCGUAACUGGUCUGAGAGGAUGAUCAGUCACACUGGAACUGAGACACGGUCAAGACUCCUACGGGAGGCAGCAGUCGGGUAUAUUGGACAAAGGGCGAAAGCCUGAUCCAGCCAUGCCGCGUGUGUGAAGAAGGUCUUCGGAUUGUAAAGCACUUUAAGUUGGGAGGAAGGGCAGUAAGUUAAUACCUUGCUGUUUUGACGGUACCAACAGAAGAAGCACCGGCUAACUUCGUG